GGGGAACCUGCCCUGCAACCAUGGGUUUUACUCCGGGGAUCCAGGAGCUGAUAACGGGGUUAUUCGAUUCCUUCCGAAUUGAUGCAAAUGUUUAAAAGUUGGUUUUUCGGAGCUCACACUGAAUGCAUUGGGCCUUCGACGCUUUAGCUAGUUGGUAACGGUAAUGGCUUCCCAAAGGGGUCGAUUCGUAGCCGACCUGAGAGGGUGAUCGGCCACACUGGGACUAGUCACGGCCCAGGACUUCUACGGGAGGCAGCAGUAGGGACUCUCCCGCAAUUGGACGAAAUUCUGUCGGAGAAACGCCGCAUGAGUCACCUAAGGCCUUCGGGGUCGUAAAGCUCUGUUGUUAGGGUUAGAACAAGUACCGUUGGAAUUAGAGGCGGUACCUUGACGGUACCUAUCCACAAAUCCACGGCUAACUACGUGCCAUGCAGCCGCGGUAAUACGUAGAUGGCAAGCGUUGUCCGGAAUUAUUGGUCGUAAACGAAUGAGUAGGCGGUCUUUUAAGUCUGAUGUGAAUUGCCACGGCUCAUCCGUGGAGGGUAAUUGGAAACUGGAGGACUGGAGUGCAGAAGAGGAGAGUGGAUUUCCACGUGUAGCGGUGAAAUGCGUAGAUAUGUGGAGGAACCCCAGUGGCGAAGGCGGCUCUCUGGUCUGUAACUGACGCUGAUUGCGCGAAAGCGUGGGGAGCAAACAGGUUUAGAUACCCUGGUAGUCCAGGCCGUAAACGAUGACUGCUAGGUGUUGGGGGUUCCACCCUCAGUGCUGAAGUUAACACUUUAAGCACUCCGCCUGGGGAGUACGACCGCAAGGUUGAAACUCAAAGGAAUUGAUGGGGGCCGGAACAAGAAGUGGAGCAUGUGGUUUAAUUGUGAACCAAAGCGAAGAGUCUUACCAGGUCUUCCAUCGUUUGACAAUCCUGGAGACCAGGAUUGCCUUCGGGGGACAGAGUGACAGCUGGUAAAUGUUUUAGAAG
rnacentral:rRNA from 1 species